AUACUUACAUGGUAGGGGAGAUACCAUGAUCAUGAAGGUGGUUUCCCCAGGGUGAGGCUCAACCAUUGCACUCGGGGUGUGCUGACCCCUGCGAUUUCCUCAAACGUGGGAAACUCAACUGCAUAAUUUGUGGUAGUGGGAACUGCCUUAAAGCUCUUAAAUUUCUA